UACGGAGGGUGCAAGCGUUAAUCGGAAUUACUGGGCGUAAAGCGCACGCAGGUGGCUGAGUCAGUCGAUUGUGAAAGCCCUGGGCUUAACCUGGGAAUUGCAGUCGAUACUACUCAGCUAGAGUAUGGGAGAGGGCAGUGGAAUUCCCGGUGUAGCGGUGAAAUGCGUAGAUAUCGGGAGGAACAUCAGUGGCGAAGGCAGCCCCCCUGGGCUAACAC
rnacentral:rRNA from 1 species